CUCGCCUCGUCGCUGUCAUCGCCGAAAGUGUCGUCAUCUUCGGUUUAGCUGCGGCAGCGACGGUGUUUAGUGCAUGAAAAAGAAUAUUCUGUCAUUUGAGUGUUCAGUUCGAGACGGGUUUGCAUUUUAACAACACUGACUGAAACGGUACACAGUGAAUAGCGCGUGUCUUAAAAGUAUUCAAACUAAGUGAAUAGUAAGUAAAACCAACAUUUACUAUAAUAAAAAAAUAUAAUUAAAAAUCGAAAACAAAUAGUUUACUAAAAAAAAUGUGUGUGUUCGUGUGAAAUAACGGCAGUGAUGGCGGCGGCCAAGGUAGCAAAGUGAAAUGUACGAAUAGCUUCGAGGCAGACAAGCAGAAAGCAGGCGCCUAUACUAGAUGCGCCUCAAGAGCUGAAAAUAUUUAUUAAAAAUAUAAUAUGAAAUUAGGCCCAUGUAAUUAGCAACGCCUGAGUCCUACCCUGGAAAGCAGAGUUCAUAUUCUAAAGUGAUUUAGUGAGGCAACAUAAAUGAAAUGAAGCAAUAAACAUUGAAGAAAAAUAUUUUCUAAAAAAAAGUGCUAAAGAAUAUCCUUUAAAACAACGACGAAAAAGUGUAAAAUAGUUAAUGCCUGAAAGGUGGGGCCAGCGAGGCGAAGGAAAUUUUAUAUACAAUAAAAAUCUGCGGUGAAAAAAAAAUCAAGAAAUCACGAAAAAGGAACACGAAAGCUACACAACGGUGCUUAAAAGAGAUAUAUG